rnacentral:misc_RNA from 1 species
GAUGAAGAACGUAGCGAAACGCGAUAAGUAAUGUGAAUUGCAGAAUCCAGUGAAUCAUCGAAUCUUUGAACGCACAUUGCGCCCGCCAGCAUUCUGGCGGGCAUGCCUGUUCGAGCAUCAUUUCAACCCUCGACCUCCCCUUGGGGAGGUCGGCGUUGGGGACCGGCAGCACACCGCCGGCCCUGAAAUGGAGUGGCGGCCCGUCCGCAGCGACCUCUGCGCAGUAAUACAGCUCGCACCGGGACCCCGACGCGGCCACGCCGUAAAACACCCAACUUCUGAACGUUGACCUCGAAUCAGGUAGGACUACCCGCUGAACUUAAGCAUAUCAAUAAGCGGGGA